UCUAGCAACAUAGUAUAGCAAAAUGGAUAGCAAGAUUUCUUCAACAAAGCUGGCUUGUAUUGUUGCUUAUUUACUUUUUGCAUGCUUUUUCCAACUUCUUACGGCAAACGAGGAGGUCAAGUUAAAUGAUGAGUUAAAAGUCAUGCAACUUCCGGAGGCAAACUCAGAAGCACUUGAUGGUGUGUUUCAAGUGUCUGUAACUCGAUAUGAUCGACAACAUGUUGGUUCAAAAUAAAUUGGUGUAUGUAUCGACCCACCUCCUUGUGGAUCUGACGGUGAGUGUGCUAACUCAGGUUGUGGCCACAGAUGUUUGAGGGAUGGGUGGGGGUUUUCGUGUCUGUCACAUUUAAAAUUGUAUGCCAUGGCAUGGAACUCUUAUGGUUUUUCUUAUCAGAAUAAAAUUGUGUGUAUUUGAAAGUUU